AGGAACACCCAGAAGAAACGGGUUAGAAAGAACCAAAAGAGAAAACGGCUUCCAUUUUCUUACAAAUAAAUACAUUAUAAAAGUAGUAAAACUUCACGGCCAGAACCUGACAGCUCUGUGAGUUAGUACUGUGGGUUUCAGACUGCAGCGGAUCAGGUUGGGAUCUGCAGCUUCCCUCUUUCUGUGAAAUAGUAAAAAUGAUGCAAAGCAGGAGCAGAAAUGUGGUCUGUUGUUUUCCUUAUGAUGUCAGACACGGAAACAUGAGACUAACUCAUCCAACAAACCUCAGAGAGUCUUCCGUUGGAGGUAAACCGCUGAACAGUAACAGUAGUAGCAAGUACUAUUUUCAGAUUUACAUUGUUGCUGCUGUUGUACCUAUUUCUGACCUUUGCUCACUAGAAAAACUCAACUUAAAUUGAAUUUUACAAAAUAAUUGAAUUAUUGUUGAAUUUCUACCAAAUUUAGGCUCAACUUAGCAUAGUUUUUAAUACCUUUUGGCCAAUGUGUAACAAUUUCCAAGUUCCCUAUCUAAUUUGUAAUGCUUUGUGACUAAAUGUUUCAUCGGCUAUUAAAUUGGCUAACUAAUUCAUGAGCAAAAUUAUAUACAUUUCCGGGCUAACGCAACACACCUUUUGUCAAAGGGUUGUUUGUUUUAGAUAUUUGUUGUGUUCCUCCAUUUUAUUUUGGUCACGAGUGCCUGUUUAGAUGUAACAUUUAGUGUUUAGUGUCUUAAGUAACCAAUCAGAGGAGCCCACUCGAGGGAGACAGGAAACAGAGACAAGUGAGGCAUUCUAACUCUGUUCCUGUUUUCUUCCUCCCUCUUAUCCACCUCUCUCUUGACAAAGACCCCUCUCCUGACCAAUUUCUAUUCUUCUUACUUUUUCUCUUUCACUUCCUGACUGAGUUUCCUCUGACAACUUCAGAAUGUCUUCCUUCCCUUUCUCCAGUCCCUGUCGUAUCCUGUCUGCGACUGGCCCUUGUUAUGGUCCUCGUUCUGUCUCUACUGUCUUUCUCUUUUGCAUUCCUCAAUCCCUCGUCCUCAUCAGUGAGACGGGCCAGUGGGGGCCCAUCUUCUCCCCUCGAUUCUGUUCACUUAUCAGAGUCUCCCUGCUCUUAGGACAAAAGCCUCACCAAUGUUGCGUCUCACUGUCACUGCCAUAUUAAUUCAUUGUUCGAUACUUAGCCAAAUUUGAUGAUGAGUCUUGAAAACAUAACAGCAACAGGGAUUCGGCCAUUUUAGAUAUUUUAUGUGAGUAAAUAUCACGCAAAAAAAAAAACUUUUGACCUGUGUUUGGGCCAAUAAACAUUUAAAGCCAUGGCAUUUAUUGAUGUAAACAUAGUAAAAUGGCUCCACAGAGUCUGCACAGCCAGAAAAGUGUUUCCUGAAAAAACGUAGCUCUCCCAAACAACCGACCUACAAAAUAUUGCUUACGUCCGUUACACAACAGCCGCGCUGUAAAGUUGCUGGAAGCAUCAACUUGGGUAAGUUUGAGUUGCCCUGUGUUACCAUUUGACCCUCAACGCAUUUGGAAAAUACAAAGUAACACACCAUGCAUUUAUAGCAAAAAUUAAUUUGGUACGAGUGUACUGUAUGUGCACGUCACGUUUCAGUGUGAAUAAGAGAACUGUCCUGGCCCUACUUUGAAUAGACUAGCAUGAACCCACCAUGCUCAAAAUAAAAACGUGGAUAUCUUAAUAUAUUUGAAUACCUUAGUACUGGAUGCAAAUAACAAGGUACUGUAAUUCUUGGCACAGUUUUAUAAAUAAUCUUUACUUUCUACGAAAUAUAUUUUAGCUAGAAGAGGUGCCUGCUCCCUCUCUCCAUCAGUCUGGGUGUUAAAAAAAAGUUGAGGCCAGCUGGUCUACUGCAGUCGAAGCUCGUUUUUUAAAGUUAUAAAAUGGUGCCCGUGUGUUCUUCCCAUCUAUGGACAUGUUGACUUCUCUUUCCGUGCCCUUUUACUGUUCAUGAUGACUUCUUUUCUCAGAUCACCUUCUUACCAUACUUCUUAGUCAUCGGCUGCACUGGUGCAACAGGAGGUAAAGUGUGAAACACUUUGACGAGAGUUGCACAUUUAAUUUCAGACGCAUCUACUGUUUUUCGCGCAUGAAGUGGUAAGAAACAUUCAAACUGAAACUUACAGCAUCUCGGCACGAUACAGAGUUGCACUUGUUGUAUUUCCUGCCUCUAUUUUAGACUCAACUCUACUGCAUUAAGAUAUUGUCAGGGUAGGGAUCAGAAGGGUGAGGGGAGCGAGAGGCAGAACAAAGGCACUUUUAGGAAGCUGUGUACGAACGGACUUAAUCAGAGGGUGAUUCAGUUUCGAGGCAUGGAAGGCCACGAAGUCAGCUGCUUUCUGGGUAAGGGCUCUGUUGAGCUCAGCAAAAAAAAAAAAA